rnacentral:rRNA from 1 species
UGGCGGGUUGCCUUGUCAGGUUAAUUCCGUUAACGAACGAGACCUCAGCCUGCUAAAUAGAUAGCCGAAGAGAUUUUCUCUUUUGUGCUAGACUUCUUAGAGGGACAUUCGGUAUCCAACCGAAGGAAGUUUGAGGCAAUAACA